UGGAGAACAUGCUGCCACAGCAUUAGCAACCGUAAGGAAGAUCUUGUCCUCUCCAAUCAGCUGUGCAAAAUCAGAGGCGUGGAGCUUAUCAAUCACGACUGGGCCAGGAUUUGCUAGGAUAAGCUGUGCAAGAACACAAGGAGCUUCUGAUAAUCUACCUGGGGAAUGCAAAGACUAGCAAUUGUCAGCCCAGCAAUGAGGUCACCUCUAAAUUUUGCAAAACUGUAACUUCUUCCCCAUUCAAGAAUAGGGAAGAUAGCUUGGAGACCUAGGAUGAACUUUUUAGACCUUGGUUGGUCCUUGAAGGAACGUAGAGGAUCAUCUGCAAAGAAUGUCUCUUUCACAGUGGCUUUGAACUCCUUGAAGAGGUUUUGCUUAGGAGGAAGUCCAACCUUGUGAACAUAAGGUGCGUCUUGAGGAUGACGGUGAGAGGAUGACAGGCUCCUUGUAUCCAUAUCGUACUCUUGAGUUGAAUGAACAGCGGAUGACAUGGACAGUUAACUUACCUGUAAUGCAGGACAGUUUAUAAGAUAAUCAUCAUCAUAAAGAGGGCAAUGCUGAUCUUAACUUUUCAGAAAGAAUAUGAAGCAAAUGCUUGAACUACUGAAUCAAGCCAAGUAUAGUCUUCCAAAGAAAAGCUUAGCAUAAACCAAUAAAGUGAAACUUUAGUCA